CGCCUUUGUAAUUCUGCCAUUGCUCUUCCCUCGCUUUCGCCAUUGAAUUGUUCUUCUCUUUCUUUCGCUGGUCAGCGUCUACUUCGGCUGGCGCACUCCGAUUCAGGCGAAACACUUGAGUGGCAGAGUGUCUCUUCAAACCUUUGCAUAUACACAGGGAUACCCGUGCCCGUCCCAAGGUCCGGACCCAGAAGAUAUCUAGGAUUUUUGGUAUUAAGCUCACUAGAAGGUGCGGUUCAAUUGAGGGAAGGGUUGGUGUCCGUCAUUUGGAUGAUUCUAAUGAAGUAAAAUUACUUCUAAAUGGCACGGGUCCAGUGUCGGAAUCUGCUGUGUGGCGCAUACACUAAUGUCAAGCAUUGAAUCACCAAUACCAAGUAGGAGAAAUUAAAGUUGUUUUCUUCCUUCUAUGUUUAUAUUUCUGUUCCUUUUGUUUUUGGAACUAUAUAUGUUAGGCAUGCAUAAAGGAGGCGCUUUUACCUCGGGGGUCGUGAAAGUUUCUCCUUUUCCUCAAAAUUUCCAAAUCAUUGAGCAAUCUAAACUUCUUUUACAAAUUAUACUAGUCAUAUUUUUCUUCCUUUUUGCAUGUGAAUCAGCCUGUUUGUACUUCCUUUCCAUGUCCCUAAUCUGACCAUUUUCCCAUUUCAUUUUCAUCUUCUAUCUGUAAAUCACACUAUACCCAAAAUUUAAUUUUUUAUAUAUUCUUAACAAUAUCC